rnacentral:misc_RNA from 1 species
UGCGGUUGAGGCUCCAGCUAUAAAUGGAUAAAAUYUUYGUCUUAAUGUAUACGAGUUUUUGAACGUAAAGGAGCAAUAAUUAAUUUAUUGUUCUAUCAAGAGGGUUAAUAUUGCUCCUUUACUUUUUAGUAGUUUCAUACAUCAAUUUUGUAUUUACUUCAACAUUCUUUACCAUUGUUUUAAGAUAAGAAAAAAAUAUUGGAGUUUCAUACUUUUUGUUUCUUUUUUACUAAUUUAUUUUAUACGUUUUUUUCAGCAAUCUUUCUUUAUCUUUUGAAAUGAAAAAAAAAACCAUCUAAAGAAUACAAAUAUCUCUGUAAUUUUUAAAUGGUUUUUAAAUGGUAUAGGGGCGGAUGUAGCCAAGUGGAUCAAGGCAGUGGAUUGUGAAUCCACCAUGC